UUGUAGCCUCGCAGACGAAGGAGCCACCCUUUCACUGCCAAGCCCCGGGG
rnacentral:tRNA from 1 species